UACGGGGGGAGCAAGCGUUGUUCGGAUUUACUGGGCGUAAAGGGCGCGUAGGCGGCCACCGCAAGUCAAUUGUGAAAUCUCCGGGCUUAACUCGGAAAGGUCAACUGAUACUGCGGGGCUAGAGUGCGGAAGGGGCAACUGGAAUUCUCGGUGUAGCGGUGAAAUGCGUAGAUAUCGAGAGGAACACCUGCGGCGAAGGCGGGUUGCUGGGCCGACACUGACGCUGAGGAGCGAAAGCAUGGGUAGCGAACAGG
rnacentral:rRNA from 1 species